ACGAACGCUGGCGGCGUGCUUAACACAUGCAAGUCGAGCGGAAAGGCCACUUCGGUGGUACUCGAGCGGCGAACGGGUGAGUAACACGUGAGUAAUCUGCCCUUGGCUUUGGGAUAGCCACCGGAAACGGUGAUUAAUACCGGAUACGACAACUACUCGCAUGGGUUGGUUGUGGAAAGUUUUUCGGCCAGGGAUGUGCUCGCGGCCUAUCAGCUUGAUGGUGAGGUAAUGGCUCACCAUGGCUUCGACGGGUAGCCGGCCUGAGAGGGUGACCGGUCACACUGGGACUGAGACACGGCCCAGACUCCUACGGGAGGCAGCAGUGGGGAAUAUUGGACAAUGGGCGGAAGCCUGAUCCAGCAACGCCGCGUGAGGGAUGACGGCCUUCGGGUUGUAAACCUCUUUCGGUAGGGACGAAGCGCAAGUGACGGUACCUACUAAAGAAGCACCGGCCAACUACGU
rnacentral:rRNA from 1 species